rnacentral:rRNA from 1 species
AACGAACGCUGGCGGCGUGCCUAACACAUGCAAGUCGAACGGGAUUAGGGGGCUUGCUCCUUAAUCUAGUGGCGCACGGGUGAGUAACGCGUAGAUAAUCUGCCUGAUGAUCUGGAAUAACACUUCGAAAGGGGUGCUAAUACCGGAUAAGCCCACGGGUACUUUGGUGCUUGCGGGAAAAGGGGGGGACCUUUUAGGCCUUCUGUCAUCAGAUGAGUCUGCGUACCAUUAGCUAGUUGGUAGGUAAAGGCCUACCAAGGCGACGAUGGUUAGCUGGUCUGAGAGGAUGAUCAGCCACACUGGAACUGAGACACGGUCCAGACUCCUACGGGAGCAGCAGUGAGGAAUAUUGGUCAAUGGGAGCAAUCCUGAACCAGCAAUGCCGCGUGUGGGAUGGACGGGCUCAGCCCUAGUAAACCACUGUCGGAACGGGACGAAAGGGACGCCGUUCGAGGGUCUCGUAGGGACGGUACCGUACGAAAGGAAGGGUCGACGUAACGUACGU